UGUAGAAAAUAAAGUUGCAGACAUGUAGAAAAUAAAGUUGCAGGUUUUCUCAAAUCCUCCGAUAUAUUAUUGCUGAGAAUUGGUGGGCCUUAAAUAGCCAAUGACAUGAAGACUAAGUCUCCUACAACUAAACAAUGAGAAACUUGCGGAAGUAAACUAAUGACUAGGACCACUACUACUUGACUCCUACAGACCAGGAGCUUAUUCAAACUUGAAAAACAACUUAAAGACUCAUUCAAACUAAAGCUAAAAGACCAAUUCAACUCUAAUACUCCAACAUACCCUCCCUUAAACUGGAAAUGCUAACAAAAGCAUCCAGUUUAAUCUUCUUGUCCCUGCAUUCCUCCUCUUCAAAUGAAACUUGAGCCAUCAAAAGUACGUCCUCCUCCAAUUCUGCAUAAUAUGCUCCCUUCUCCCAAUCAGGACAUUCAUAUUGGAAAUGUCCUAAUUUAUGGCACUUAAAACACUCAAUGGAUGCCUUGUCUGGCGUAGCUCUUCCUCGACCUCUGCCACGGCCGCCUCGUAAGCUACCUCGUCCUCUUCCGUAACUGGAACGUUCGUCUUGAGAGACAUUCAAAACAUGCUCCUCCUCCUGAGGUUCUUGCAUCCUUCCCUCAUGAACCAACAAGCUUCCAUGUAGCUCAUCAAUAGUUAGCGUACUCAGAUCAUUUGAUUCCUCGAUUGAGCACACAACAUAAUUGAAUUUCCUGGUUAAUGAUCUGAGUAUCUUGCUCACAAUUGUGCUCUGCUCCACGCUUUCUCCAUUGAUCUUCAUUUUGUUUACCACAGACAAGGUUCUUCCCAAGAAGGUGUCUAUCUUCUCGCCUUCCUUCAUAGCGAGCAACUCGAACUCUCUUUUCAACGCCUGGAGUUGUGCUCGUCUCACCUUUGUUGAACCUUGAUACUUCCUUUUCAUCGAUUCCCAAAUCGCUUUUGAAGUUCCUUUGUCAAGAAUUGUUUCAAGAAUUUCUCUGUCAAUGGCUUGAAACAGAAAAUUCUUGACUUUAAGAUCCUUGAGCUUUGCCUCUUCCACAGCUUUUCUCUGAGCUUCAUUCGCUGGUGAUGACCCGAUCGCCAUUGUCGGAAUCCCUUCUUCCACCAGGCUCCACAUCUCUCUACUCCUUAGAAAGUUCUCCAUCGCCAUUGACCAAAAGUCAUAGUAGCCGUCGAAUUUCGGAAUAGCCGGCUGCACAAACUUCUCGGAUGAUGUUGACAUUUCUUUGUUCUUCUUUCUCUCCCUUUUUCUUUUUCUUUAAACGACUCACUCUUUUUCUCACUCAACGACUCACUCUUUCUCUCACUCCUCUUUCACUCACUCGUUUUCUUUUCAACGACUCACUCUUUCUCUCACUCCUCUUUCUCUCACUCCUCUUUCAUUCACUCGUUUUCUUUUCAACGACUCACUCUUUCUCUCACUCCUCUUUCUCUAACUCCUCUUUCACUCACUCGUUUUCUUUUCACUCAAAGAUAUUUUAUUUGAAAAUGGCUCUGAUACCACAUGUAGAAAAUAAAGUUGCAGACAUGUAGAAAAUAAAGUUGCAGGUUUUCUCAAAUCCUCCGAUAUAUUAUUGCUGAGAAUUGGUGGGCCUUAAAUAGCCAAUGACAUGAAGACUAAGUCUCCUACAACUAAACAAUGAGAAACUUGCGGAAGUAAACUAAUGACUAGGACCACUACUACUUGACUCCUACAGACCAGGAGCUUAUUCAAACUUGAAAAACAACUUAAAGACUCAUUCAAACUAAAGCUAAAAGACCAAUUCAACUCUAAUACUCCAACAG
rnacentral:lncRNA from 1 species